AGUGACUACCUGUAUAUUUUAGAUCAGCUCUGUUUUUGGCAGUGGAGCAUUUAAAAUGACCAUAAAAUAACUUUUAUUUAUUUAUAAGACUCAGGAGGAAGGAGCCGAUGCUGGCACAACCCACACAGAGGUCCUGCAGUCACCGGUGAUGCUGACAGAGGUCCCAUCCUGAUGUUGACUCAGCCUAAGGUCUGAGCGGAGGUGGUGGCCACUGGGGACCUGUACCGGGCCGAAGAAGACCUCAGACACCAGGGCUCCAUUCAGAAGUUCGGGAUGGAAUUCCCACUGGUUAUUGUUUUCAUCAUUAUCUGAAUGAUGGCCAUGAGGAUCAUUUUGAAGAAUGUGAGGCUCAACCUUGAUUUGUUCAUCUAAUCUUAAAUUAAACAAUAAAGAGAACAGCAACAGAGAGGCACAAAUCAACUGAAGAUAUUUAUGACUCAGCAUUUAACAUAAUGUUCAGAUAAUUGCACAGAAACAUUUGCCACCUAAGACAUAUAUAAAAUUUUUAAGGAUAUUUCUUUUACUGAGGAUCUUUUUCU